UUUGUUUACAACUUCAAAUUUCAGCAACUCAAUGAGUUCUGUUUCUCAAACAAGUUAUUUGACGUCACCACCUGAAAACACUUCAACAAGUGCAACACACCAAGAUGGUUUUACAACCCAAAAUAUCAGCACCUCCAGCAGUUCCAUUUCUCUAUCAAGUAAUAAGGUUUCCAGUCAUACAAAUGACACCAAUUCAUUGGGGAGUUCAAGCCAAAAUACUUUGUUUACAACUUCAAAUUUCAACAACUUUAGCAGUUCUGUUUCUCAAACUAGUUUUUUGACAUUGCAACCUACAAAUGAAAGCACUUCAUCAGGUGCAAGAGACCAAGAAACUUGGAUUACAACCCAGAAUUUCAGCACCUCAAUCAGUUCUGAUUCUCGAACAAGUAAUGAGGCAUCCAGUCGUACAAAUGACACCAAUUCAUCGGGGAGUUCAAGUCAAAAUACUUUGUUUACAACUUCAAACUCAAACAGUUCUGCUGCUCAGAAAAGUUAUUUGACGUCACCACCUUCAAAUGAAAGCACUUCAUCAGGAACAACAAAUGCAAAUAAUUUGUUUACAAACUCCAAUUUCAGUGACUCAAAUUCUGUGUCACAAAAUUAUUUGACAUCAUCACCUACAAACAACAGCAUUUCAUUGGGGACUGAACAACCAGAAAGUAAAAAAACAAGCACCAGUAUCAGCAACUUGAG